rnacentral:rRNA from 1 species
AGGAGAGUUUGAUCCUGGCUCAGGAUGAACGCUGGCGGCGUGCUUAACACAUGCAAGUCGAGCGAAGCACUUUCACAGAUUUCUUCGGAUUGAAGUGGAUUUGACUUAGCGGCGGACGGGUGAGUAACGCGUGGGGAACCUGCCCCAUACCGGGGGAUAACAGUUAGAAAUGACUGCUAAUACCGCAUAAGCGCACAGUGAGGCAUCUCACAGUGUGAAAAACUCCGGUGGUAUGGGAUGGACCCGCGUUAGAUUAGCCAGUUGGCGGGGUAACGGCCCACCAAAGCGACGAUCCAUAGCCGGCCUGAGAGGGCGACCGGCCACAUUGGGACUGAGACACGGCCCAAACUCCUACGGGAGGCAGCAGUGGGGAAUAUUGCACAAUGGGGGAAACCCUGAUGCAGCGACGCCGCGUGAGUGAAGAAGUAUUUCGGUAUGUAAAGCUCUAUCAGCAGGGAAGAAGACGACGGUACCUGACUAAGAAGCCCCGGCUAACUACGUGCCAGCAGCCGCGGUAAUACGUAGGGGGCAAGCGUUAUCCGGAUUUACUGGGUGUAAAGGGAGCGCAGACGGCACAGCAAGUCUGAAGUGAAAACCCGGGGCUCAACCCCGUGAUUGCUUUGGAAACUGUUGAGCUAGAGUACCGGAGGGGUAAGCGGAAUUCCUAGUGUAGCGGUGAAAUGCGUAGAUAUUAGGAGGAACACCGGUGGCGAAGGCGGCUUACUGGACGGUAACUGACGUUGAGGCUCGAAAGCGUGGGGAGCAAACAGGAUUAGAUACCCUGGUAGUCCCCU